CCUCUCUUCUCCUCUCCUCUCAGAUUCCAGCUGAACAAGGUCAGACUUAUGCAUCAGAAGUUAAUGCCAUAUUUGGAGAGACUAGUGCCCUCACUGCUAGGAAUGCUGAGGAAAUGUUCAUUGAAAUAACUCGUAAGUUACCACCAGAUUGUUUUUACCAGCUGGUGCCUCUCUCUUAAGACAGACUGAUACACCACGUGCUAAGGGAGGAUGCUGUGGAGGAGGGGAAGGGGACAAAGGACCAUCAUAAUAGUCCAGUUAUUACAAGAUAAUAAAUUAAUGAUUAUUAUUAUUAUUAUUAUUAUUAUUAUUAUUUUAAUAACAACUGACACAUGUACUGCUUGCCCAAUAAGCUGGUUGUACUAUUCUCUUCUAUUUUAUUUUAAUUGUCUUUGAUUGCAAUAAUAAUUUAUU